rnacentral:rRNA from 1 species
UACGUAGGGGGCAAGCGUUGUCCGGAAUUAUUGGGCGUAAAGGGCUCGUAGGCGGUUUGUCGCGUCGGGAGUGAAAUCCACUGGCUUAACUGGUGGCUUGCUUUCGAUACGGGCAGACUGGAGGUAUGCAGGGGAGAACGGAAUUCCUGGUGUAGCGGUGAAAUGCGCAGAUAUCAGGAGGAACACCGAUGGCGAAGGCAGGUCUCUGGGCCACUACUGACGCUGAGAAGCGAAAGCAUGGGGAGCGAACAGG